UACGAAGGGUGCAAACGUUGCUCGGAAUCAUUGAGCGUAAAGCGCACGUAGGCGGCUUCAAAAGUCGGAUGUGAAAUCCCUCGGCUCAACCGAGGACGUGCAUCCGAAACUGCGGAGCUUGAGUAUGGAAGAGGGUCGCGGAAUUCCCGGUGUAGAGGUGAAAUUCGUAGAUAUCGGGAGGAACACCAGUGGCGAAGGCGGCGACCUGGGCCAAUACUGACGCUGAGGUGCGAAAGCGUGGGGAGCAAACAGG
rnacentral:rRNA from 1 species